AGAGUUUGAUCAUGGCUCAGAAUCAACGCUGGCGGCGUGCCUAACACAUGCAAGUCGAACGCGAAAGUCCCGCAAGGGAUCAGUAGAGUGGCAAACGGGUGAGUAACACGUGGGUGACCUGCCUUCGAGUGGGGGAUAACGUCCCGAAAGGGACGCUAAUACCGCAUGACAUCCUGCCUUUGAAGAGGUGGAGCUUAAAGCUGGGGAUCGCAAGACCUAGCGCUUGAAGAGGGGCCCGCGCCUGAUUAGCUAGUUGGUGAGGUAACGGCUCACCAAGGCAACGAUCAGUAUCCGGCCUGAGAGGGCGGACGGACACACUGGGACUGAGACACGGCCCAGACUCCUACGGGAGGCAGCAGUGGGGAAUUGUUCGCAAUGGGCGCAAGCCUGACGACGCAACGCCGCGUGGAGGAUGAAGAUCUUCGGGUCGUAAACUCCUUUCGAUCGAGACGAACGGCCCCUGGGCUAAUCACCAGGGGAGUGACGGUACCGAGAGAAGAAGCCCCGGCUAACUCCGUGCCAGCAGCCGCGGUAAUACGGGGGGGGCAAGCGUUGUUCGGAAUUACUGGGCGUAAAGGGCUCGUAGGUGGCCAACUAAGUCAUACGUGAAAUCCCUCGGCUUAACCGGGGAACUGCGUCUGAUACUGGAUGGCUUGAGGUUGGGAGAGGGAUGCGGAAUUCCAGGUGUAGCGGUGAAAUGCGUAGAUAUCUGGAGGAACACCGGUGGCGAAGGCGGCAUCCUGGACCAAUUCUGACACUGAGGAGCGAAAGCCAGGGGAGCAAACGGGAUUAGAUACCCUAGUAGUCC
rnacentral:rRNA from 1 species